rnacentral:rRNA from 1 species
AAUGGCUCAUUAAAUCAGUUAUCGUUUAUUUGAUAGUACCUUACUACAUGGAUACCUGUGGUAAUUCUAGAGCUAAUACAUGCUAAAAACCCCGACUUCAGGAAGGGGUGUAUUUAUUAGAUAAAAAACCAACGCCCUUCGGGGCUCCUUGGUGAAUCAUAAUAACUUAACGAAUCGCAUGGCCUUGCGCCGGCGAUGGUUCAUUCAAAUUUCUGCCCUAUCAACUUUCGAUGGUAGGAUAGUGGCCUACCAUGGUGGCAACGGGUAACGGGGAAUUAGGGUUCGAUUCCGGAGAGGGAGCCUGAGAAACGGCUACCACAUCCAAGGAAGGCAGCAGGCGCGCAAAUUACCCAAUCCCGAUACGGGGAGGUAGUGACAAUAAAUACUGAUACGGGGCUCUUUUGGGUCUCGUAAUUGGAAUGAGAACAAUUUAAAUCCCUUAACGAGGAACAAUUGGAGGGCAAGUCUGGUGCCAGCAGCCGCGGUAAUUCCAGCUCCAAUAGCGUAUAUUAAAGUUGUUGCAGUUAAAAAGCUCGUAGUUGAACCUUGGGCCUGGCUGGCCGGUCCGCCUCACCGCGAGUACUGGUCCGGCUGGGCCUUUCCUUCUGGGGAACCUCAUGGCCUUCACUGGCUGUGGGGGGAACCAGGACUUUUACUGUGAAAAAAUUAGAGUGUUCAAAGCAGGCCUUUGCUCGAAUACAUUAGCAUGGAAUAAUAGAAUAGGACGUGUGGUUCUAUUUUGUUGGUUUCUAGGACCGCCGUAAUGAUUAAUAGGGAUAGUCGGGGGCGUCAGUAUUCAGCUGUCAGAGGUGAAAUUCUUGGAUUUGCUGAAGACUAACUACUGCGAAAGCAUUCGCCAAGGAUGUUUUCAUUAAUCAGGGAACGAAAGUUAGGGGAUCGAAGACGAUCAGAUACCGUCGUAGUCUUAACCAUAAACUAUGCCGACUAGGGAUCGGACGGGAUUCUAUAAUGACCCGUUCGGCACCUUACGAGAAAUCAAAG